rnacentral:lncRNA from 1 species
AACGCCUUGAGUGCUAUGAAGAGAGUGUGGAGAUUUCACUAAUCAGUGGAUGGAAACUUCUGGAAGGUAUUAAGAUCCAACGGCAGCUCGGAGGCUCUUUUAACCUUGGAGGAUGGCUUCGUGUCCUUAACCUCGACCAUCUUAAAGAGACAAGCAUGUACCAAAGCUCUGUAGCAUUCAUAAGAAGCAGCCCAGCAUACCUCCACGUGGCCACCUUGAAGUCACAUUCGCAAAAGCACCAUCAAGCAUCAAGGCACCAAUGAACUGUCAGAAGCUGGAUGUUGCUGAGGAAGGAGAGAAAUGUCUAACACGCUGGCUCAAAGCAGUGGGUCUCAACCUGUGGGUCAUGACUCCAUUGGGAUUCACCCACCAGAUUUCCUGAAUAUCAGGUCCUGCCAGGUUGUUCCCAGUAAAGGAAAGGAAACAAGAGUCAGAAUUUCACAACGUGGGACUCGGGAAGCCAAGUGCUCUAAAGCAGUCUGGUGUGAGAAUCCUGCUCUACGUGUCUACACAGCAGAUGAUGAGUAACCUCCGUGCAGGCUAGCUUUCGAUAACAGAUAACCGCCUUCCCCUGACACCAGAUCAGUGACUCACACACCUGGUGUCUCCUCAGUGUUCAGAUGCAUUACUGGAUCGUCCCUUGAAAUGUCCUUACUGAACAGGCAGCAAAAAGCACAGGAAAAGUGUCUGUUUAGGUUUUAUUUCCAUACGAUUUG